rnacentral:rRNA from 1 species
GACGAACGCUGGCGGCGUGCUUAACACAUGCAAGUCGAACGGAAAGGCCCUGCUUUUGUGGGGUGCUCGAGUGGCGAACGGGUGAGUAACACGUGAGUAACCUGCCCUUGACUUUGGGAUAACUUCAGGAAACUGGGGCUAAUACCGGAUAGCAGCUCCUGCUGCAUGGUGGGGGUUGGAAAGUCUCGGCGGUUGGGGUUGGACUCGCGGCUUAUCAGCUUGUUGGUGGGGUAGUGGCUUGCCAAGGCUUUGACGGGUAGCCGGCAUGAGAGGGUGACCGGCCACAUUGGGACUGAGAUACGGCCCAGACUCCUACGGGAGGCAGCAGGGGCGAAUAUUACACAACGGGAGGAAGCCUGAUGCAGCAGCGCCGCGUGCGUAAUGACGGCCUUCGGGUUGUAAACCGCUUUCGCCUGUGACGAAGCGUGAGUGACGGUAAUGGGUAAAGAAGCACCGGCUAACUACGUG